AGUAGUUCUGUGUGACCACCUAGCCCUAUAUAAGACCUAUCUAUUUGCUCAGAAGCUAUCAGAGGGUGUGGUGGUGCUACCAGCUCCUGAGUUGUUUGAAGUGGAUUUGAGUUUGGUUUGUAAAUCUUUCUCUGGUUGCUAACAUUCCCUAGCAUCAAUUGUGCCCCUGCCCUGAAGUUACUGGUGUUGGCGAGGCAAGUCCCUAACCACCACUGUCUCAAGGCUGCUGCUGUACCCCUGCAAACAUGGGAGGCAAACUGAGCAAGAAGGGGCUCAACAUGGGUUAUGAGAAACCAAUAGCCCAUGUGGUUGAAGAAGCUACAGAGGCUGCUACAGGGAAGCCAGAAGAGAGGGAGGAGGCCUGCCCUGCUGCAGAGUUGAUGGGACCCACAACUGAGAAGAGGGACAAAGAUUCCCAGGUCCCUGCUGAUGAGAUGGAAGACAAAGAAGAAGGCGGAGUCCCUGCAGUGGGCAUGGAAGAGAUCUGUAAACCUGAACCAAAACAGCUAGAUUUGGUGCCUAAUGAAGAGCAGUUGGUGGCUGCUAUCAGUGAGGAAACCACUAAAUCUCCAGAGGCUGACCCUUCCCAACUUCUGGAAGUUUCAACACCUGUAGGUGGUGAGAGCAGACAGGAAGGGGAUGGUGAAUAGAUGGAAUCCCCCUGAAUCUGAAUGCCAUGUAACUCUACCCCAGUUUCCAUUUCAAGACCCAUCUCUAUGAAGAGGUACCUUCUGCAGAGUGAUCCUGGCAACACUAAUUCUACUCUCUGCUUCUCCAACCCCUGAGACUGUAGCUGUGGCAGAACACCUCAAUCUUUCCAGCAACUAUCUGAUCCCUAGUGCCAGAGUAAAAUGGACAGACUGAGUAAUGCUAGUAAAACUACCUCUUUUGGGUGGUUCCAUCAGUACUGGUGAGCUGUAUCCCCAGCUCUUAGCCAAACUUCAGUCCUCUGUAGGGAAAUAGGCAAGUAAGAUGGCAUGCAUCUGGUACAGGACUUGGUGCAACUGGUAGUGCACAUUUCCUGUAUCUUUAAGGCUGUACUGGCUGACAGUACAGCACAUCUCAGUACCUGACCUGUCAUACACACACUUCUGCUGUGCAUAGCCAUCUUUAUCUGUUUAAUGUUGAUGCCUGAAUGUAAUUAAAAUGGUAUCUAAGGGUUUUAAGGCCUUAGUGUGAUAUCCCUUAUACGCAAUGAAUGAGUGGCUCUUAAGAACAAACUUGAUUCCCUGUUAGGUUGCAUGAUGUGGCUAUCAGACCUGAAUGCAAUGAAAAUGUUGUGAGGUGGUUUCUUUAUUGGAACAUGUUAAUUACAAUUCAGGGUCCAUUUUGAGGGCUCAGCUGCUACUUAAAAAACAGAAGAAACUAAUGUAAUUGUUCAGAGGAGAAUAAUUACUAAAUUAUAAAAUGCAAUCUAUCCUGUAUAUGCAAUAACAGGACAGUCAUGGUUUAUGUAAGUCCUUGUAUAGUUACCUGCAUUGACUGACUCAUUCAAAUGUUGGAUGUCAAUAAAUGUUUUAUACUUGCAACAA